UCCAUCUAUGGGAUCGGAUUACUGACCAAGGCUAGCUACGUGCUUGUCUAUUUAAGCCCUGUUUCAAUUUGAAUCGGCAUUCAUCAUCGCACGUUAUUUUAUGUUCAUUUGUGCAUUAUGUGUACUAACUAUUCUUUAUUACCGAUUAUGACGAAGUCUAUGGGAGCUAAACACGUAGCAAUUCUCCGUCAGUUUAGGCAUUACCCGAAUCCAGAAUCAAUGGAAAAAAGUGUUUCACCUGUGCAGCUGGUGACUGCACAAUUACUCAGGAGUGCAAGGAAGGUGAAGAUCGCUGCUUUAAGUUCGCAGGUGGGCUGGUGAAGGGAUGUGCAUCCCAAGGUAACUGUUCUGGAUCCCCGAUUGCUCAACUGGGAGCUGAUGCGGGCCUGAACUGCUGUGAGGGAAACUUGUGCAACAACGCCCUGCGCAUCGGACAGAGCAUCCUCUUCCUCCUCCUGGUGCCUCUGGCCUCCUUCUUCCUCUUCAACUAAGCAGCACUUUGACCUGCAGACCCACCCUAACCCUCCUCGACUACUCGAGGAUGGUGCAAAUCAAAUAAAUUCAUACAAUGUUGGUUAAACUUGUUCAAUUUGAUUAAAGCAUUUUUUAUAAUCAAA